AUUUUUUGGUUAAGUUACUAAGAGCAUACGGUGGAUGCCUUGGCACGGAUAGGCGAUGAAGGACGUGGUUACCUGCGAUAAGCCUCGGAUAGGUGGAAGCAACCUUAGACCCGGGGAUGUCCGAAUGGAGCAAUCCAUACAGAGUAAUGUCUGUAUACUCUAUACUGAAUACAUAGGUAUAGCAGAGCUAACCUAGGGAACUGAAACAUCUAAGUACCUAGUGGAAAAUAAAACAAUAGUGAUUUCCUGAGUAGCGGCGAGCGAAACGGAAAGAGCCUAAACUUUCUGAUGUGUUAAAGACUGCAAUCCUUGCAUCAGAGGUGUCGUGGGACUUUCAGGCUGAUUUGCAGUAAGCCAGAGAGUAAGAAACUAAUUUGUUAGUUGAAUGACUUGGAAAGGUCAGCCAUAGAAUGUGAAAGCCAUGUAAACGAAAACAUUUUAGCUCUCGAAAGUAUCCCGAGUACCACGGAGUAAGUGGAAUUCUGUGGGAAUCUGCGAGAACCAUCUCGUAAGGCUAAAUACUCAUUCGUGACCGAUAGUGAACAAGUACCGUGAGGGAAAGGUGAAAAGCACUCCUUACAGGAGGGUGAAAUAGUACCUGAAACCGUCUGCUUACAAACGGUAGGAGUCUGCCAUGACCGGCUUGCCGGUUAUGGAGGAUGACUGCGUGCCUUUUGCUUAAUGAACCAACGAGUUACUCGUAUCAUGCGAGGAUAAGUUCUUCAGGAACGUAUCCGCAGCGAAAGCAAGUCCGAAAUGGGCGAUUCAGUAUGAUGCGGUAGACGCGAAACCAGUGUGAUCUAGUCUUGGCCAGGAUGAAGCCCCGGUAACACGGGGUGGAGGUCCGAACCAGUGUGGGUUGAAAACCGCUUGGAUGAGCUGAGACUAGGAGCGAAAGACUAAUCAAACUUGGAGAUAGCUCGUUCUCCUCGAAAUAGCUUUAGGGCUAGCCUCGGAUAAAAGUAUGAUGGAGGUAGAGCACUGAUUGGGGUAGGGCUGUCACAACGGUACCAAACCCAGACAAACUCCGAAUUCCAUACAUAUGUUCUCCGGGAGUCAGGCAGUGGGGGAUAAGCUUCAUUGCCAAAAGGGAAAGAACCCAGACCACCUGCUAAGGUCCCCAAGUCUAUGUUAACAGACUAAGGAUGUUAGAUUGCUCAGACAACUAGGAUGUUGGCUUAGAAGCAGCCAUUCAUUUAAAGAGUGCGUAAUAGCUCACUAGUCAAGCGAUCUAGCGCCGAUAAUACUCGGGACUUAAACAUAGCACCGAAGCAGUGGACUCAGCAGCAAUGUUGAGUGGUAGAGGAGCAUUCUAUUAGCGAACCUUUAUAUGGUGUACUUCGGUACGAAGGCGCAUGGUAACGUGUGCUGGAGCGAAUAGAAAAGAAGAUGUUGGUAUAAGUAACGAUAAUGCAGAUGUGAAAUCUGCACACCGAAAAUCUAAGGAUUCCUGAGCAACGUUAAUCGUCUCAGGGUUAGUCGGUUCCUAAGCCGAGGCCGAAAGGCGUAGGUAAUGGAAGACAGGUUAAUAUUCCUGUACCACCGAAAUUUUAACUUGGGGGACGCAGAAGUGAAAGGAAAGCCACCUGCUGGAUUAGGUGGUCUAAGGUCGUAGUAUUGAGCAAUCAGUAUGAAAGCCGAACGGGAUGGCGCAAGCCUCUAAACUUUCCCUAAUCAUGCUGCCAAGAAAAGCCCAAGCGUAUACUAAGGUGACCGUACCGUAAACCGACACAGGUAGAUGAGGAGAGUAUCCUAAGGUGCUCGAGUGAGCCGUGGUUAAGGAACUCGGCAAAUUAACCCCGUAACUUCGGGAUAAGGGGUGCCCCACUUGGUGGGGCCGCAGAGAAAUGGGCCAAGCGACUGUUUAACAAAAACACAUGUCUAUGCUAAGCCGUGAAGGCGCUGUAUAUGGACUGACACCUGCCCGGUGCUGGAAGGUUAAGGAGAGAGGUCAUCCCUUCGGGGAGAAGCUUUGAACCGAAGCCCCAGUAAACGGCGGCCGUAACUAUAACGGUCCUAAGGUAGCGAAAUUCCUUGUCGGGUAAGUUCCGACCUGCACGAAUGGUGUAACGAUUUGGUCACUGUCUCAACCACGGGCUCGGUGAACUUGUGGUACCGGUGAAGACGCCGGUUACCCGCAUAUGGACGGAAAGACCCCGUGCACCUUUACUGCACCCUAGCACUGGAUUCGGGCAAUCCAUGUGUAGAAUAGGUGGGAGACUUUGAAGCGGCGGCGCUAGCCGUCGUGGAGUCGCAAUGUGAAAUACCACCCUUGGCUUGUUUGAGUUCUAACCCUUCACGCUGAAUCGCGUGAGGAGACACUGUUAGGCGGGUAGUUUGACUGGGGCGGUCGCCUCCUAAAUUGUAACGGAGGCUCCCAAAGGUAUCCUCAACCUGGUUGGUAAUCAGGUGUUGAGCGUAAAUGCAAAAGGAUGCUUAACUGCGAGACCUACAAGUCGAGCAGAUGCGAAAGCAGGGAUUAGUGAUCUGCCGGUUCCGAGUGGAAGGGCCGGCACUUAAAGGAUAAAAGGUACGCCGGGGAUAACAGGCUGAUCUCCUCCAAGAGUUCAUAUCGACGAGGAGGUUUGGCACCUCGAUGUCGGCUCAUCGCAUCCUGGGGCUGGAGAAGGUCCCAAGGGUUUGGCUGUUCGCCAAUUAAAGCGGUACGUGAGCUGGGUUCAGAACGUCGUGAGACAGUUCGGUCC
rnacentral:rRNA from 1 species